UUUACUUUGCAGCCAAAGAAUUCUAACAUGCAUUUUGCUAACUGGAACUGGAGCAGCAAAACAAAGAAAACAAAUGCCUCAUUUUCCAGCUUUGUGGGUGAGAGAACUAUAA